rnacentral:lncRNA from 1 species
AUUUUUUCCUUUUUAGUUCACUGUGGAAUCCCUAGCACCCAGAAUAUCUUUCUCACUACCACCCAGAGAGGUACUGUUAUCCCCUUUUAAAAAAUAAAGGGCGUAGUAAGGUUAAAUAACAUACCCAAGAUCAUGCCGUCCAAACCAGACUUUUCCCCAAGCCUCACGUGCACCACCUGCACUGUCCCACUUCUAUGCAUGUUCAAGAUAGCAGCAUAAGCUGGAUGUGGUGGUGUAUCUCUGCAAUGCCAAGGCUGGGGCAGGAGAAUCACAAGUUCAAGGGCAGCUUUGAAAGUAGGACAAUAGUAACUAAUGAGCAUACUAAUGAGGUAAUGGUCUCUGCUGUCAUGCAGUUAACAAUAAAAUUGGAGAAACAGGAUAAGUAUCAGACAACUACUAUAUAGAGCAG